GCCGUCGCAACGCGCGCAAAGGAGUGGGCCGAUUCUCAGUCGGCUUAAGGUACGUGCCAAUCCCUUGGGUAACCAAGCUUUUGCAAAUAGACCCGACAGGUCGAAGUGCAAAGGGGCAGCCUGCAGCCAUGCAGGGUGCUGGCGUGAACAUGCUGUGAUGCCCUUAGAUAUUCUGGGCCGCACGCGCGCUACACUGACAGAGCCAACGAGUUCAUCACCUUGGCCGGAAGGUCUGGGUAAUCUUGUGAAAC
rnacentral:rRNA from 1 species